rnacentral:rRNA from 1 species
GACGAACGCUGGCGGCGUGCCUAAUACAUGCAAGUUGAGCGCUGAAGGUUGGUACUUGUACCAACUGGAUGAGCAGCGAACGGGUGAGUAACGCGUGGGGAAUCUGCCUUUGAGCGGGGGACAACAUUGGGAAACGAAUGCUAAUACCGCAUAAAAACUUUAAACACAAGUUUUAAGUUUGAAAGAUGCAAUUGCAUCACUCAAAGAUGAUCCCGCGUUGUAUUAGCUAGUUGGUGAGGUAAAGGCUCACCAAGGCGAUGAUACAUAGCCGACCUGAGAGGGUGGUCGGCCACCUUGGGACUGAGACACGGCCCAAACUCCUUCGGGAGGCAGCAGUAGGGCAUCUUCGGCAAUGGAUGAAAGUCUGACCGAGCAACGCCGCGUGAGUGAAGAAGGUUUUCGGAUCGUAAAACUCUGUUGGUAGAGAAGAACGUUGGUGAGAGUGGAAAGCUCAUCAAGUGACGGUAACUACCCAGAAAGGGACGGCUAACUACGUG